rnacentral:rRNA from 1 species
CUCUUGGGGGGGCCCCAAGUAACCUCUGCCCUAUGAUUUGUUUAAAUGGCCGCAGUAUCUUGACUGUGCAAAGGUAGCAUAAUCACUUGUUUCUUAAUUAGAGGCUGGAAUGAAGGAGGCGACGAAAGCUAGACUAUCAAGAUUUUAGUGUAAGUUGACAAUCGGGUUAAAAGGCCCGGGUGAACCGGGGGGACGACAAGACCCUAUAAAACUUUACUUUUAGCGCGGGGCUAAGCGGGAGUGGCUUUUGUGCCUAAUGGUUUUGCUGGGGCGGCGCAGAUACAAACAAUUUGAGGUUUAAUAUGUUAAAUAAUGAGGCAGAACUCGUAGAGAAAUAGAAUAAGUUACUUUAGGGAUAACAGCGUAAUUGCCCUAGAGAGUCCUUAUCGACAGGGCAGCUUACGACCUCGAUGUUGAAUUGGGGC